rnacentral:rRNA from 3 species
UUGACCUCGGAUCAGGUAGGACUACCCGCUGAACUUAAGCAUAUCAAUAAGCGGAGGAAAAGAAACCAACAGGGAUUGCCCCAGUAACGGCGAGUGAAGCGGCAACAGCUCAGAUUUGGAAUCUGGCCCCCAGGGCCCGAGUUGUAAUCUGGAGAGGAUGCUUCUGGCGCGGCGCCUUCCGAGUUCCCUGGAACGGGACGCCGGAGAGGGUGAGAGCCCCGUACGGUUGGACGCCUAGCCUUUGUGAAGCUCCUUCGACGAGUCGAGUAGUUUGGGAAUGCUGCUCAAAAUGGGAGGUAAAUUUCUUCUAAAGCUAAAUACCGGCCAGAGACCGAUAGCGCACAAGUAGAGUGAUCGAAAGAUGAAAAGCACUUUGAAAAGAGGGUCAAACAGUACGUGAAAUUGUUGAAAGGGAAGCGCCCGUGGCCAGACUUGUGCCCCGCGGACCACCCGGCGCCCUCAGCGCCGGUGCACUCCGCGGGGCGCAGGCCAGCAUCGGUUUUCCUAGGGGGAUAAAGGCGGCGGGAACGUGGCUCCCUCGGGAGUGUUAUAGCCCGCCGCGCCAUGCCCCUGGGGGGACCGAGGACCGCGCUUCGGCAAGGAUGCUGGCGUAAU